GACACGACCGUACCGCAAACCGACACUGGUGCGCGAGAUGAGUAUUCUAAGGCGCUUGAGAGAACUCAGGAGAAGGAACUCGGCAAAUUGACACCGUAACUUCGGAAGAAGGUGUGCCUUUAGUAGGUGAAGGGAUUUACUCCUGGAGCCCAAUGAGGUUGCAAAAAAUCGGUGGCUGCGACUGUUUAUUAAAAACACAGCACUCUGCAAACACGAAAGUGGACGUAUAGGGUGUGACGCCUGCCCGGUGCUGGAAGAUUAAAUGAUGGGGUGCAAGCUCUUGAUUGAAGUCCCAGUAAACGGCGGCCGUAACUAUAACGGUCCUAAGGUAGCGAAAUUCCUUGUCGGGUAAGUUCCGACCUGCACGAAUGGCGUAACGAUGGCCACACUGUCUCCUCCUGAGACUCAGCGAAGUUGAAAUGUUUGUGAUGAUGCAAUCUCCCCGCGGAAAGACGGAAAGACCCCAUGAACCUUUACUGUAGCUUUGUAUUGGACUUUGAACAGAUCUGUGUAGGAUAGGUGGGAGGCUUUGAAGCAGGGUCGCUAGAUCUUGUGGAGCCAACGUUGAAAUACCACCCUGGUGUGUUUGAGGUUCUAACCUAGGCCCGUAAUCCGGGUUGGGGACAGUGCAUGGUAGGCAGUUUGACUGGGGCGGUCUCCUCCCAAAGUGUAACGGAGGAGUUCGAAGGUACGCUAGUUACGGUCGGACAUCGUGACGAUAGUGCAAUGGCAUAAGCGUGCUUAACUGCGAGACUGACAAGUCGAGCAGAUGCGAAAGCAGGACAUAGUGAUCCGGUGGUUCUGUAUGGAAGGGCCAUCGCUCAACGGAUAAAAGGUACUCUGGGGAUAACAGGCUGAUACCGCCCAAGAGUUCAUAUCGACGGCGGUGUUUGGCACCUCGAUGUCGGCUCAUCUCAUCCUGGGGCUGUAGCCGGUCCCAAGGGUAUGGCUGUUCGCCAUUUAAAGAGGUACGUGAGCUGGGUUUAAAACGUCGUGAGACAGUUUGGUCCCUAUCUUCCGUGGGCGCUGCAGAUUUGAGGAAGCCUGCUCCUAGUACGAGAGGACCGGAGUGGACGCACCUCUGGUGUAUCGGUUGUCACGCCAGUGGCAUUGCCGAGUAGCUAUGUGCGGAAGAGAUAACCGCUGAAAGCAUCUAAGCGGGAAACUCGUUUCAAGAUGAGAUCUGCCGGGGCCUUGAGCCCCCUGAAGAGUCGUUCAAGACCAGGACGUUGAUAGGUCGGGUGUGGAAGCGCAGUAAUGCGUUAAGCUAACCGAUACUAAUUGCUCGUGCGGCUUGACCCU
rnacentral:rRNA from 1 species